rnacentral:rRNA from 1 species
UACGUAGGGGGGCAAGCGUUAUCCGGAAUUACUGGGCGUAAAGCGCACGCAGGCGGUUCGCCAAGUUUGGAGUGACAGUUGUCGGCUCAACCGACAAAGGACUUCAAAAACUGGUGAACUUGAGGACGAGAGAGGAACAUGGAACUCCAGGUGUAGUAGUGAAAUGCGUAGAUAUCUGGAAGAACACCAAUGGCGAAGGCAAUGUUCUGGCUCGUUUCUGACGCUCAGGUGCGAAAGCCAGGGGAGCGAACGGG